rnacentral:rRNA from 1 species
CACGUAGGGCGCAAGCGUUGUCCGGAGUUACUGGGCGUAAAGGGCGCGCAGGCGGUCUUGAAAGUCAGGCGUGAAAGCCCCGGGCUUAACCUGGGAAUUGCGCUUGAUACUCUGAGACUGGAGUACGGGAGAGGAGAGUGGAAUUCCCAGUGUAGAGGUGAAAUUCGUAGAUAUUGGGAAGAACACCAGUGGCGAAGGCGGCUCUCUGGACCGUAACUGACGCUGAGGCGCGAAAGCGUGGGGAGCAAACAGG